CUCUUUUAUGGGGUGACUGCGUACCUUUUGUAUAAUGGGUCAGCGACUUAUAUUCUGUAGCAAGGUUAACCGAAUAGGGGAGCCGAAGGGAAACCGAGUCUUAACUGGGCGUUAAGUUGCAGGGUAUAGACCCGAAACCCGGUGAUCUAGCCAUGGGCAGGUUGAAGGUUGGGUAACACUAACUGGAGGACCGAACCGACUAAUGUUGAAAAAUUAGCGGAUGACUUGUGGCUGGGGGUGAAAGGCCAAUCAAACCGGGAGAUAGCUGGUUCUCCCCGAAAGCUAUUUAGGUAGCGCCUCGUGAAUUCAUCUCCGGGGGUAGAGCACUGUUUCGGCAAGGGGGUCAUCCCGACUUACCAACCCGAUGCAAACUGCGAAUACCGGAGAAUGUUAUCACGGGAGACACACGGCGGGUGCUAACGUCCGUCGUGAAGAGGGAAACAACCCAGACCGCCAGCUAAGGUCCCAAAGUCAUGGUUAAGUGGGAAACGAUGUGGGAAGGCCCAGACAGCCAGGAUGUUGGCUUAGAAGCAGCCAUCAUUUAAAGAAAGCGUAAUAGCUCACUGGUCGAGUCGGCCUGCGCGGAAGAUGUAACGGGGCUAAACCAUGCACCGAAGCUGCGGCAGCGACACUGUGUGUUGUUGGGUAGGGGAGCGUUCUGUAAGCCUGUGAAGGUGUGCUGUGAGGCAUGCUGGAGGUAUCAGAAGUGCGAAUGCUGACAUAAGUAACGAUAAAGCGGGUGAAAAGCCCGCUCGCCGGAAGACCAAGGGUUCCUGUCCAACGUUAAUCGGGGCAGGGUGAGUCGACCCCUAAGGCGAGGCCGAAAGGCGUAGUCGAUGGGAAACAGGUUAAUAUUCCUGUACUUGGUGUUACUGCGAAGGGGGGACGGAGAAGGCUAUGUUGGCCGGGCGACGGUUGUCCCGGUUUAAGCGUGUAGGCUGGUUUUCCAGGCAAAUCCGGAAAAUCAAGGCUGAGGCGUGAUGACGAGGCACUACGGUGCUGAAGCAACAAAUGCCCUGCUUCCAGGAAAAGCCUCUAAGCAUCAGGUAACAUCAAAUCGUACCCCAAACCGACACAGGUGGUCAGGUAGAGAAUACCAAGGCGCUUGAGAGAACUCGGGUGAAGGAACUAGGCAAAAUGGUGCCGUAACUUCGGGAGAAGGCACGCUGAUAUGUAGGUGAAGUCCCUCGCGGAUGGAGCUGAAAUCAGUCGAAGAUACCAGCUGGCUGCAACUGUUUAUUAAAAACACAGCACUGUGCAAACACGAAAGUGGACGUAUACGGUGUGACGCCUGCCCGGUGCCGGAAGGUUAAUUGAUGGGGUCAGCGCAAGCGAAGCUCUUGAUCGAAGCCCCGGUAAACGGCGGCCGUAACUAUAACGGUCCUAAGGUAGCGAAAUUCCUUGUCGGGUAAGUUCCGACCUGCACGAAUGGCGUAAUGAUGGCCAGGCUGUCUCCACCCGAGACUCAGUGAAAUUGAACUCGCUGUGAAGAUGCAGUGUACCCGCGGCAAGACGGAAAGACCCCGUGAACCUUUACUAUAGCUUGACACUGAACAUUGAGCCUUGAUGUGUAGGAUAGGUGGGAGGCUUUGAAGUGUGGACGCCAGUCUGCAUGGAGCCGACCUUGAAAUACCACCCUUUAAUGUUUGAUGUUCUAACGUGGACCCGUGAUCCGGGUUGCGGACAGUGUCUGGUGGGUAGUUUGACUGGGGCGGUCUCCUCCUAAAGAGUAACGGAGGAGCACGAAGGUUGGCUAAUCCUGGUCGGACAUCAGGAGGUUAGUGCAAUGGCAUAAGCCAGCUUGACUGCGAGCGUGACGGCGCGAGCAGGUGCGAAAGCAGGUCAUAGUGAUCCGGUGGUUCUGAAUGGAAGGGCCAUCGCUCAACGGAUAAAAGGUACUCCGGGGAUAACAGGCUGAUACCGCCCAAGAGUUCAUAUCGACGGCGGUGUUUGGCACCUCGAUGUCGGCUCAUCACAUCCUGGGGCUGAAGUAGGUCCCAAGGGUAUGGCUGUUCGCCAUUUAAAGUGGUACGCGAGCUGGGUUUAGAACGUCGUGAGACAGUUCGGUCCCUAUCUGCCGUGGGCGCUGGAGAACUGAGGGGGGCUGCUCCUAGUACGAGAGGACCGGAGUGGACGCAUCACUGGUGUUCGGGUUGUCAUGCCAAUGGCACUGCCCGGUAGCUAAAUGCGGAAGAGAUAAGUGCUGAAAGCAUCUAAGCACGAAACUUGCCCCGAGAUGAGUUCUCCCUGACCCUUUAAGGGUCCUGAAGGAACGUUGAAGACGACGACGUUGAUAGGCCGGGUGUGUAAGCGCAGCGAUGCGUUGAGCUAACCGGUACUAAUGAACCGUGAGGCUUAACCUU
rnacentral:rRNA from 1 species